CUCAAGAAGGUCUUCCAGGAUCUAAAAAUACCAAUCCAGCACAGUGGACACACGUCUGGAUCACUAGACAAGGCCUUUUCUCCUGCUACUAACACUGAAGCAGUGAAAAACUAAAAAAUGUCUACAUGCAAAGAAAGCACUUUCUGAGGAAUCCUCAGCCAUGAGCAGAAAAUACAGCCGCCCGCCCAACUCCGGCUCCGAAGUAAGAGAAUCCCCGUGUUGAGUGAGUGCAGGCGCUCGCCGGCUGACACAGCAUCCCCACGCAAUCACAAGGGUCUCUUUAUGGAGCAGCAAUGCGGGCACGCGGGGCCGAGGCCAGCCUAACCAAAUCAGCGGAGAAAAAUAAACAUCCUUGUCUUGGAAGUGCCUAGCACAAUUUCAUUAAGCCAGACGAUGCCUGGGAAGGAGCCGGAUGUAUAUUUAUUGAAUUGAGCCCUAGGAGAAUAAAAGGGAAAAAGAAGCCCCUGGCUGUUACGGUGAGAGGGAUUUAGGGAAACUAAACAAAGCAAGAACAACCCCCCCGCUCCACUCGCAACCCUAAAAAAAGAAACUACAAAGUCAUUUUUAGAUGUAAUUUCCGCAGAGGGUAAUGCGAACAUGCUGCGGUUUUAAAACAAUUAAAUGAAGAAAGGUGUCUUUUGGAAAGAGGGGCACAAGAAUUACGAGCGUGUUCCUGACCAGCGGCAUUCCUGCGUGUUUUAUGGUACGCUCUGGACACGAGCCCACCUCCAAGGUACAGUGUGAACAUAAAACAUUUCCCCAGUUGUUUUCCCCACUCCGAUGCAGUGAUGCUGCACAGCUGCAAAGUGGCUCACGGGCAGCGCUCCCUGGCCCAGCUUUGGCUCGUUGUGGCAGGGAGAGGCAGCUUAGGGCUAAUUAGAAAAUGAAAAUUGACUCUCGGCUCCACGCAUCGAACCACCUCUCCCUGCUCCCAUCCUUGCCAGGGAAGAGGUUUCUAUUGCAAGGUAUUUCAGAUCAAUCUGCGUUCAUUUUUGCCGUGCUCCUUUUGUCUCUUUUUUUUUCCAAUUGGAAGUAGCUCUGGAGAGGCUAUUUAAAAUGUCUCAGCUACCAAAACUGAGCUUCCAGUAAAAAAAGUACAUUGGCUGUUCUGAUAAUCCUUCUUACAGUGUCUCCCUCUCAAGGGUUAACAGUGAUGCAACAUUUCGUCUAACAAAUGACCCCAAGUUCUUACCUGGCCCUUUGCAAAGGAGUCCAGCACUGGUGAUGUAUUAGAAGCGUCUCGCUGCUCCGAUUGAGAAAGACAUAGAACACAGACAUUCCUGCCUGAAGGACAUGCAAAUGCUUUACAGGGGAUCAGGACAACAAUAUAGCAGAUGGCAAUACAAAACACUUUACAGGUGCCGUUCUACUCUACUCUUCAAUUUCUAGCUUGUAUUGCUACUAGGAAAGGAUGAGGGUUGAAGCUAACUAAUGGAAGAAUGCCCCAUCCCUGGAGACAUUCAAGGCCAGGCUGGAGAGGGCUCUAAGCACCUGAUGCAGCUGUAGAUGUCCCUGUUCACUGCAGGGGAGUUGAACCAGAUGGCCUUUAAAGGUCCUUUCCAACUCAAAUGAUUCUAUGAUUCUGUGAUUGGCUCUGUAAGAAAAAAUAAAAGGUACCCAACCAGGUAUAGCAAAGCAAGAGAUGACCUACACAGAAGAGCAGAGUGGCAGCUGGGACGUUCCUUUGCACUGCACCAAUUCCUUCCAGCAGAUGAGGCCCUCCAAAUUGCUCCCCAAAAUGACAGAGCAAUGACACGCUGCAUCAGCAAGGGCUAUGGGAGAUGAUGGAUAACCCCACAAG
ensembl:lncRNA